rnacentral:misc_RNA from 2 species
CUAUGCUCGGUGGAGGUAUUCUUAUCCCCUGGUCGGAUUUCGUUGCUUGUGCCCCGUACCUCAGUGUCGGCAUCAGCAUUGUCCCAAAGAACGGCCAGUUGUCCCAGUUUUCGUGUCUUGGUGCUCAUGUGACCUUGUCACGGGGUUGGCUUGGAAACAUCGAUAGCGCUCGCUCAUCGACUACUAACGUUGUCGUGGGCGUGGCGUCAUCGAUGUUGGAUCUCUCGUGCGCGGAAAGCCCAUCGGCGCGGUGGUUCCCUGAACCCCGCUAAAUAGACCCUCGGUGAAAAGUCGUCCGAUGCAAUCUUGAACGACCAUCGUGCCAGCGAAUGUGCUUUCCUCCGAGAGGGGGCAGCGCACGCUGUGCCGAUGUUGUACGGGAACGCUACCUGGUUGAUCCUGCCAGUAGUCAUAUGCUUGUCUCAAAGAUUAAGCCA